GACAGGUACGGGGACAUGACCCCAAAAACGGUGACGGGGAAGAUAGUUGGGGGCGUCUGUUCCCUGAGUGGGGUGCUCGUCAUCGCCCUGCCCGUCCCUGUCAUCGUGUCGAAC
rfam:Helobdella robusta unplaced genomic scaffold HELROscaffold_40, whole genome shotgun sequence.